rnacentral:ncRNA from 1 species
ACGACCCGGACGGGAGAGCCCUGGCUUCGGCCAGGCACCGAAGGAGCAAGCCUCCCCGCCAAUCUCUCAGGUACGCGUACCGUCCCGGUCGG